UACGAAGGGGGCUAGCGUUGCUCGGAAUGACUGGGCGUAAAGCGCGCGUAGGCGGCUUUGUAAGUUAGAGGUGAAAGCCCAGGGCUUAACCCUGGAAUUGCCUUUAAGACUGCAUCGCUAGAAUCGUGGAGAGGUGAGUGGAAUUCCGAGUGUAGAGGUGAAAUUCGUAGAUAUUCGGAAGAACACCAGUGGCGAAGGCGACUCACUGGACACGUAUUGACGCUGAGGUGCGAAAGCGUGGGGAGCAAACAGG
rnacentral:rRNA from 1 species